rnacentral:rRNA from 1 species
AUUGAACGCUGGCGGCAUGCUUUACACAUGCAAGUCGAACGGCAGCGCGGGCUUCGGCCUGGCGGCGAGUGGCGAACGGGUGAGUAAUGCAUCGGAACGUGCCCAGUAGUGGGGGAUAGCCCGGCGAAAGCCGGAUUAAUACCGCAUACGACCUGAGGGUGAAAGCGGGGGGCCGAAAGGCCUCGCGCUAUUGGAGCGGCCGAUGUCGGAUUAGCUAGUUGGUGGGGUAAAGGCUUACCAAGGAGACGAUCCGUAGCUGGUCUGAGAGGACGACCAGCCACACUGGGACUGAGACACGGCCCAGACUCCUACGGGAGGCAGCAGUGGGGAAUUUUGGACAAUGGGGGCAACCCUGAUCCAGCCAUGCCGCGUGCGGGAAGAAGGCCUUCGGGUUGUAAACCGCUUUUGUUCGGGAAGAAAUCCUCUGGGCUAAUACCCCGGGGGGAUGACGGUACCGGAAGAAUAAGCACCGGCUAACUACGUG